AGCCUUAUUUGGUUCAUAAGUAUGAUUGUUGGAUGUUUUUGCUAUUGCAUACGUGCUUCCCACGAACCUUAUUAUGACGUGGGUGCAUUACCCAUGUGCUG